rnacentral:rRNA from 1 species
AUUGAACGCUGGCGGCAUGCUUUACACAUGCAAGUCGGACGAGUGGCGAACGGGUGAGUAACGCAUCGGAACGUACCGGGUAAUGGGGGAUAACUGUCCGAAAGGACAGCUAAUACCGCAUAUUAUUCGCGCGGCCGGUGUCUGAUUAGCUGGUUGGCGGGGUAAAGGCCCACCAAGGCGACGAUCCGUAGCGGGUCUGAGAGGAUGAUCCGCCACAAUGGGACUGAGACACGGCCCAGACUCCUACGGGAGGCAGCAGUGGGGAAUUUUGGACAAUGGGCGCAAGCCUGAUGCAGCCAUGCCGCGUGUGUGAAGAAGGCCUUCGGGUUGUAAAGCACUUUCAGCGGGGAGGCGUUACCCGCAGAAGAAGCACCGGCUAACUCCGUGCCAGCAGCCGCGGUAAUAC